rnacentral:rRNA from 1 species
GACGUAGGGCGCGAGCGUUGUCCGGAAUUACUGGGCGUAAAGCGCGCGCAGGCGGUUGGUCGCAUCGGCGGGGAAAGCCCCCCGCUCAACGGGGGAGGGUCCGUCGAGAUGGGCCGACUGGAGGCAGGGAGAGGUCAGUGGAAUUCCGGGUGUAGUGGUGAAAUGCGUAGAGAUCCGGAGGAACACCAGUGGCGAAGGCGGCUGACUGGACCUGACCUGACGCUGAGGCGCGAAGGCGUGGGGAGCGAACGGG